AAUGAACGUUGGCGGCAUGGAUUAGGCAUGCAAGUCGGGGGAAUCCCAGCAAUGGGGGAACCGGCGUAAGGGGCAGUAAGGCAUGGGUACCUACCUUGGGGUUCGGGAUAGCCAUCAGAGACGGUGGGUAAUACCGGAUGACGUCGUGAGACCAAAGAUUUAUCGCCCUUAGAGGGGCCCAUGUGAUAUUAGCUAGUUGGUGGGGUAACGGCCCACCAAGGCGAAGAUGUCUAGCGGGUGUGAGAGCACGACCCGCGCCACUCGCACUGAGACACUGGCGAGACACCUACGGGUGGCUGCAGUCGAGGAUCUUCGGCAAUGAGCGCAAGCUUGACCGAGCGAUGCCGCGUGAGCGAUGAAGGCCUUCGGGUUGUAAAGCUCUUUAGUGGGGGAGAAAAGCCGCAAGGUGUGAUCUAUCCCAAAAAUAAGCACGGGCUAAGUUCGUGCCAGCAGCCGCCGCAG
rnacentral:rRNA from 1 species